rnacentral:rRNA from 1 species
UACGUAGGGUGCAAGCGUUGUUCGGAAUUACUGGGCGUAAAGCGCACGUAGGCGGCUUUGUAAGUUAGAGGUGAAAGCCCGGGGCUCAACUCCGGAACUGCCUUUAAGACUGCAUCGCUUGAAUCCAGGAGAGGUGAGUGGAAUUCCGAGUGUAGAGGUGAAAUUCGUAGAUAUUCGGAAGAACACCAGUGGCGAAGGCGGCUCACUGGACUGGUAUUGACGCUGAGGUGCGAAAGCGUGGGGAGCAAACAGG